rnacentral:rRNA from 1 species
CCUACGGGAGGCUGCAGUGAGGAAUAUUGGACAAUGGACGGAAGUCUGAACCAGCCAUGCCGCGUGCGGGAAGACGGCUCUAUGAGUUUUAAACUGCUUUUGUACAAGGGUAAACCUGAAUACGUGUAUUCAGCUGAAAGUACUGUACGAAUAAGGAUCGGCUAACUCCGUGCCGGCAGCCGCGGUAAUACGGAUGAUCCAAGCGUUAUCCGGAUUUAUUGGGUUUAAAGGGUGCGUAGGCGGAUUGAUAAGUUAGAGGUGAAAUGUCCGAGCUUAACUCGGGAACUGCCUCUAAUACUGUUGAUCUAGAGAGUAGAUGCGGUAGGCGGAAUGUAUGGUGUAGCGGUGAAAUGCUUAGAGAUCAGAUAGAACACCGAUUGCGAAGGCAGCUUACCAAUCUAUAUCUGACGUUGAGGCACGAAAGCGUGGGGAGCAAACAGGAUUAGAUACCCGAGUAGUC